rnacentral:rRNA from 1 species
UACAGAGGGGGCAAGCGUUGUUCGGAAUUACUGGGCAUAAAGGGCGCGUAGGCGGCCUGCUAAGUCGAAUGUGAAAUCCCCGAGCUCAACUCGGGAACUGCGUCCGAUACUGGCAGGCUUGAAUCCGGGAGAGGGAUGCGGAAUUCCAGGUGUAGCGGUGAAAUGCGUAGAUAUCUGGAGGAACACCGGUGGCGAAGGCGGCAUCCUGGACCGGCAUUGACGCUGAGGCGCGAAAGCCAGGGGAGCAAACGGG